GCCUGGAGUCGAGAGCCGAGAGCGUAGAUCAGCCCAGACAGUAUGCGAAGGGAGGUCAGAGUGAGUGAGAUUAUUCCAGAAAGCAGAGGAGAUGGAAUCAGGGAGGUUAGCAGGGAGUCAGGAAUAAACCAGGGUUGAGCUGUGGGAAAGCUAGGAAAUGAGCCUGGGAUCCUGACGUGGGAACGUGUCAGACACCGGCCUAAUUAGGGGGUUGACCUUACUCUCUGCGUGUUAACGAAGAGCAAUGUCUUCCGCGGCCGUGGACCUUUCCAGCCUCGCCCGACACUCGAGGGGAGCGAGAGGAGCGAAACUGAGACGGAGAUGGAUGCCUGCAGGGCAGCACCGUGCUGGGUUGUAGUGUUGGGACUCAUCUGGGAGGGACAGGGGUGCGGAGUCCGCGUGAGGCACCUCAUUCAGCGAGUCCAGUUGCCUUGCACUGAGCUUGCAGCCGAGCCCACAGCGGCCAGGAAAAGCCAUCCCCUCCCACAUGGGGCUGAAAGACGGAGACAGACAGGUAACAACAAGGACCUGGGUAAACACUGAAUUGCAAACUACAAAACAUCACAACCCAAAUCCAAGAUGCCGUGAUACACGUCAGAGGGUCUAGAAAUGGUCUGGGCCACCGGGGAGAGCCUUUUCUUAAGGUGUGAUUUUUUAGCUCAUCUAAGAGCUCCCAUUGAGCAGAGGAAGGUCCUGAGGUGGAACUUGCUGGGUCAGAAGUUAUUUCCGGGAAGAAGCAGACUAUUCCAGGCAAUGGGAAGGGCAUGUUCAAAGGCCCUGAGGCCAGAGGGAACAUGCUGUUUCUCAGGUCUACAAAGAAGGUCAAGGAGGUUUGAGGGGGGAGGUUUGCAUGAAAUAAGACCAGAAAGUCGCGUGGGUCAUGGAGACGUGGCUACUUAUCCCAAAAGCAUAGGGAGGCAGCUACUCUUUUACUUUAAAAUGUUGGAUGGAUGAAAAUCUUACGGUGACAAUUGGACACGCAAGUAAUUUCUGUUUAAUAUGAAUGGAAGUUUAAAAUCCAUGCAGUGUCACACGCUGGAAGGCUCCUUCGUGAUAGCUGGGGCUUCUGUCUGCAAACAUCCGAGACGUGAGCGCGGGCUGCAGCCAAUACACGCUCCGCGUCAACCAACAGGCCGCGCCGCUGGUUCUUCCCAACCGGGUGAUCCUCGUAAGCAGCCUGUGGACUCGACUCGACCUCAGAUCUACAAAAUGACGGGCUGUCCUUCCUCCCCGAAGGGGACUGCAGUGCUCGGGGCAGUCCCAGAGCAAGGGGUGCAGCACCCCUCCGGGUCCUCAGCCUGACCACCGAGGGGGCUCGAUCCAUCGGGGCUGGGGUGGGGCAGGGGCAUGGGCUGAGCUUCCCACAGGAGCCAGUACUGGGGAAACCACACAGGCCACCGCUUCCUAAGGCCCGAAUGACCCCCCGGAGGAGGCCCGAAAGCCUGAAAGAAAGCAGGCCUAGAGGAUCAGGGAAACGAAUCUGUAACAGAGGCAAGGCAGUUUGGGAGCCUUGUUUUCCAAUUAAAAGACCUUAAAAUCGGGAAGUACACCACACAGCACCAGUGGGGGUGUCAAUGGGCCCAACUUUUGGAGACCCAGGUUGGCAGCGUGCAUCGCGAGCCUUAAAAAUGUCCAUACGGGGCAGCCCGGGGGGCUCAGCGGUUUAGUGCCGCCUGCAGCCCAGGGCGUGACCCCGGGUCCCGGGAUCGAGUCCCAUGUCGGGCUCCCUGCAUGGAGCCUGCCUCUCCCUCUCCCUCUGCCUGGGUCUCUGCCUCUCUCCAUGUCUCAUGAAUAAAUAAAUAAAAUCCUAAAAAAAAAAAAAACCCA